UACAGAGACUGCAAGCGUUGUUCGGAUUCACUGGGCGUAAAGGGUGCGCAGGCGGCCAAGUGUGUCAGAUGUGAAAGCUCGAGGCUUAACCUCGAAACUGCGCCUGAAACUAUUUGGCUAGAGUACUGGAGAGGGAAGUGGAAUUCACGGUGUGAGCAGUGAAAUGACGUAGAUAUCGUGAGGAACACCAAUGGCGAAGGCAACUUCCUGG
rnacentral:rRNA from 1 species